GGUUGCCUGUAAUCAGCGCAUCACACUGAGGCUGAGACAGGAGGACCAGGAACGCUCCGACCCUUUCAGCUGGGAGUCCCCAGAAUCUCUCCUUGAGAAGCCCAGGGACGCACCGACCCGGUAAUGACGCUGCGGCUCUUCCGCUCGAAGCCGCCACGGCUCAGCCCUGACUUGGACAGGCAGGAGCGCCAAGGGCUGGGGCUCAGGCAGCCCCUCGCCCAGAGCCAGGCCGCUGGUUCCAAGAGCUGGGCUACACGACGCCCCUGAGGGGCCUGUGCUGUCCACUCUCUGCUCUGCAAGCUCAACCCCCGUCACUGCCCAGUGGACGAAGAAGGUUCCCGAGAGCCUCCCUCACCAGACUCCAGCAGCCUCGCCUGCAGACCAGCUUCACUGAGCAGUCCGACCCGUGUCAUCACCCCAGAAGCAGUGAAGGGCCCCCUGGACAGCCUGGGCGCCCACGGGACCCAGGAGGUCACCCGCCCGGGGGUCCCAGCCGGGCCUCGGGAGCCUGGGCGCCCACGGGACCCAGGAGGUCACCCGCCCGGGAGUCCCAGCCGGGCCUCGGGAGCCUGGGCGCCCACGGGACCCAGGAGAUCACCUGCCCGGGAGUCCCAGCCGGGCCUCGGGAGCCUGGGCACGAGCCGGCCGCUAGCACAACCCCGGCUUCCUGGGGGCCCACCCCCCACCUCCACCCAGAGCUGCGGCCAAACCCAGCCCAGCCAGGCCAGGGGCCCCGCGCCCAGGGAGUGGUCCUCCAGUCAACAGGACGGGCUUCCGGCCCCAGACUGGCCCAGGCAUCCCUCACGAGAGCCACACAGCUCCCCUGCAGACCCUCGAGAGCCACACAGACGGCCAGCCCGCUUCCAUGAGGGUGGAUUCUGAACUGGGAAGAAAUCCCUUCCUUUGAUGAGGCGUGCCCCCACUUCUGCCCUCCACAGCAGGGAGGCUCCCGAUGAGAGACCCUCCCCCACCGCCACCCCCGCCGCGGUCUCAGCCACGGGGACCUUCUCUGAGUCGCCCUGCGCCGUGGCCUCCAGGGGCUAGGAACCCUUCACAGGCUGCUUGGAAUGGAGGAAACGUGGCCCGAGGGCUGGGGUCACUGCAGGGCGUGUUCACAGCUAUUUUAAACUGAAUGGCAGGUACUUUCUAUAGAAGGAACAGGGGUUGACUCUUCUCUUGCUCCAUGGUUUCUGCCACUAAUGGUGAAAUCUGUCUUCAAAAAUCUAAUAAAACUCAGUAAUAAAGCUUU
rnacentral:lncRNA from 1 species